UUCCAAUGGAUUCCGAGACCCAUAUAGUUCUGGAGGGGUUUUGGAGGACAUAUCUGAUACUGUUGUAGCUGUACAUACAAAUGAAGGAGCCCACUGCUUGGACAUACUUACUCCUAAUUCAACUGAUCCGGAUUGGUUGAUUGCACAGAG